CAAGCAUGCUGGGCAGUGCAGGGAUCCCACGCAAGCACCAACAACAGAUACUGUGGAGGUAGGCGAAGCAACCCCAGAUCCCAGCGGGAGUGUGGACCAGAAACAAGGUGGAUGGACGACCAGGAGGACACUUUGUUGACGAAGACAGAUGGAAGUAUUGGCCCGUGCCCAGCCAGAAGUGUAUUCCCUCACCACCACCACCACUGCCUUGACAGCUCCUCCCUCUUCUCUGAUCUCCUGUUCAGGGAGGCCUCUCCUGACAUCCGCUUCUAGCUUUGCUAGGCUGGAUGGUCAGUGGAAGUUUGUCCUCCUAUGCCCUCCAGUCCAUCUCUGUUACCUUCCCUGGAAUAUCUCGGAGUCCGGGAACUGUCCCGGAGUUGGGAGGCCAGCGAGGAGGGUCGAGGGGCCAGGCUGAGGAAGGCAGAGUACAGACACUGGGCUGAGGAAGAACGUUUGUUGUCGAGAAGACCAUACUUGGCGGAAGUUGCCAGAUCCCACCUGAAACAGAUAAGAAUAUUAAACUAGUGUAAAUAUUUUAACCAAUGAGCCGAAUCUCAGGCUCUCCCUAUGAAGUCCCCUUGCCACCUGGGAGGCUGUGUUCUCUGGACGGCCAAUAAAAUGGUGCAUUUGUACA
rnacentral:lncRNA from 1 species